CUCCCAUCAGAUCACCUUCAAUACCAAUCAUGUUCUCUGUAGCUCUGCUGCUGCUGCUGGCUGCUGGAUCUUGUGUGAAGUGUGAACAGUUGACACAGCCAGCCUCAGUGACUGUGCAGCCAGGUCAACGUCUGACCAUCACCUGUCAGGUCUCUUAUUCUGUUAGUGGCUAUUACACACAUUGGAUCAGACAGCCUGCAGGGAAAGAACUGGAGUGGAUUGGAAUGAGAAGUACUGGAGGCUCUGACUACAAAGAUUCACUGAAGAACAAGUUCAGUAUCGACUUAAACUCUUCCAGCAACAGAGUGACUCUAAACGGACAGAAUGUGCAGCCUGAAGACACUGCUGUGUAUUACUGUGCCAGAGACCCACAAUAACACAAACCAUCAGCAGACCUGGACAAAACCCCUCAGUGCCUGAACACUUGUAACAUGAAGCCACCAGAGGAGGAGCCCUCAGACCACUAAUGAGUUCAACACCUGUUCACGAUAAAGGG